GUGGAUUCGAUACCCUGGUAGUCCACGCCCUAAACGAUGUCAACUGGUUGUCGGGGGAUUGAUUCCCUUGGUAACGAAGCUAACGCGUGAAGUUGACCGCCUGGGGAGUACGGUCGCAAGAUUAAAACUCAAAGGAAUUGACGGGGACCCGCACAAGCGGUGGAUUAUGUGGAUUAAUUCGAUGCAACGCGAAAAACCUUACCUACCCUUGACUUGUAGCGAACCUCGCAGAGAUGUGAGGGUGCCCGAAAGGGAACGCUAACACAGGUGCUGCAUGGUCGUCGCCAACU
rnacentral:rRNA from 1 species